UAAAACUCAGAAUUUCUCAACAAGCUCACCCAAGAGUAAUCUAACCAUUUGAAUCUUGGAUCUCUUAUUCCAGCAUAAACUCUGUGCAGAAUCUACACACUAGAUGAAGGCCAAGUAUGAAGAGAUUAAAGGGUCCAUUUGCUAUCGAAUGUCCCCCAUUCAUCUGAUGAAAGGACAUGGCAGCAAAUGGUGUGCCAGCAUCCUGGAAGAACAGGCAGUGUCACCCGUCUGUUAUCUGCUUCAUGCUCUUACUGUGAGAUGAAUCCUGCCUGGUGUUUAGUCUAGUACCGAGGCUGCUGAACUGGAUGCUGUAACGUAUACAAAUGGUUAAAAGGACAUUGAUACUUUAAGGAGACUUUAGUUUAAUAGGAUAUAGAAAAUAUACACUUGGUCACCCAGAUGGGAUCAAAUGGGCUUUUGAAGAUACAGCAGGCCAUCAAAGCCAGAAGAAAGAGAAUUUUUCUGGGAAGGCCAAAGAAGACUUGGAAAAUACACUGGAGUUUAACUUAGGUGUUAAAGACAAGGAAAAGACAGUUGGCACAGACAAGACUAAGACAAUGAAACCAUGAGACCAUAAGAGAGUUUCUAACCUUGCUCUACAACAAUAGGAAAACAGAAUAAAGACAGAAUGAACAACUGAGAUCA
ensembl:lncRNA